rnacentral:rRNA from 1 species
GACGAACGCUGGCGGCGUGCCUAAUACAUGCAAGUCGAACGCAUUUUCUUUCACCGUAGCUUGCUACACCGAAAGAAAAUGAGUGGUGAACGGGUGAGUAACACGUGGGUAACCUGCCCAUCAGCGGGGGAUAACACUUGGAAACAGGUGCUAAUACCGCAUAAUUCCAUUUACCGCAUGGUAGAUGGAUGAAAGGCGCUUUUGCGUCACUGAUGGAUGGACCCGCGGUGCAUUAGCUAGUUGGUGGGGUAACGGCCUACCAAGGCUGCGAUGCAUAGCCUACCUGAGAGGGUGGUCGGCCACACUGGGACUGGGACACGGCCCAGACUCCUACGGGAGGGAGCAGUAGGGAAUCUUCGGCAAUGGACGCAAGUCUGACCGAGCAACGCCGCGUGAGUGAAGAAGGUUUUCGGAUCGUAAAACUCGGUUGUUAGAGAAGAACAAGGAUGAGAGUGGAAAGUUCAUCCCUUGACGGUAUCUAACCAGAAAGCCACGGCUAACUACGUG